AGAAAGAAAUUCGAUUCCGUAAGUAGCGGCGAGCGAACGCGGAACAGGCCAAACCAAUGAAGUUUACUUCGUUGGGGUUGCGGACAUACAACAUGGAUGCAAUAUCGUAAAUGAAGAGAGUUGGAAAGCUCCGCCAUAGAAGGUAAUAGCCCUGUAGUUGAAACGAGAAAGCUACUAGUAUGAUCCAGAGUACCACGGGACACGUGAAACCCUGUGGGAAGCAGGAGGGACCAUCCUCCAAGCCUAAAUACUACCUAGUGACCGAUAGCGCAUAGUACCGUGAGGGAAAGGUGAAAAGAACCCCGGGAGGGGAGUGAAAUAGAACCUGAAACCCUGCACUUACAAGCUGUGGGAGCACAUUACUUGUGUGACCGCGUACUUUUUGUAGAACGGGCCAACGAGUUACGUUAAGUAGCAAGGUUAAGCACUUAAGGUGUGGAGCCGUAGCGAAAGCGAGUCUUAAAUGGGCGAUUAAGUUACUUGGCGUAGACCCGAAACCGGGCGACCUAUCCAUGAGCAGGUUGAAGCGAAAGUAAAAUUUCGUGGAGGACCGAACCCACGAGCGUUGAAAAGCUCGGGGAUGACUUGUGGAUAGCGGUGAAAUUCCAAUCGAGCCCGGAGAUAGCUGGUUCUCCCCGAAAUAGCUUUAGGGCUAGCCUCAAGCGUAGAGAAACGGAGGUAGAGCACUGAAUGUCCUAGGGGGUAUUGCACUUACCGAAGACUAUCAAACUCCGAAUGCCGUUUUCUUUUACUUGGGAGUCAGACUGUGGGUGAUAAGAUUCAUAGUCAAAAGGGCAACAGCCCAGAUCGUCAGCUAAGGUCCCUAAAUGUACGUUAAGUGGUAAAGGAUGUGGGAUUGCACAGACAACCAGGAUGUUGGCUUAGAAGCAGCCACUCAUUUAAAGAGUGCGUAAUAGCUCACUGGUCGAGUGAUCCUGCGCCGAAAAUUUCCGGGGCUAAAACGUACUACCGAAGCUACGGCAUCAUUUAUGAUGGGUAGGGGAGCUUCGUAUGCAGGCUGAAGCAUGACCGUAAGGACAUGUGGACAGUAUACGAGUGAGAAUGUUGGCAUGAGUAGCGAGACGUGGGUGAGAAUCCCACGGGCCGUAAACCCAAGGUUUCCAGGGGAAGGUUCGUCCGCCCUGGGUUAGUCGGGACCUAAGCCGAGGCCGAAAGGCGUAGGUGAUGGACAACAGGUUGAUAUUCCUGUACCGCCAAUAAGCGUUUGAGAGAUGGAGUGACACAGUAGGAUAAGCUAACCGUACUGUUGGUUAUGUACGGCUAAGCAUUGAGGCAGUCUAAAUAGGCAAAUCCGUUUAGACAAUGCUAGGAUGUGAUGGGGAAGCCCUUCGGGGCGAAGUAGCUGAUUUCACACUGUCAAGAAAAGCUUCUAUCGAGUUUAAAGGCGCCCGUACCGUAAACCGACACAGGUGGGUGAGGAGAGUAUCCUAAGGCCAGCGAGAGAACUAUUGUUAAGGAACUCGGCAAAAUGACCCCGUAACUUAGGGAGAAGGGGUGCCUGUCUAUGACAGGCCGCAGAGAAUAGGCCCAAGCGACUGUUUACCAAAAACACAGGUUUCUGCUAAGUCGCAAGACGAUGUAUAGGAGCUGACGCCUGCCCGGUGCUGGAAGGUUAAGGGGAUCUGUUAGAGCAAUCGAAGCAGUGAACUUAAGCCCCAGUAAACGGCGGCCGUAACUAUAACGGUCCUAAGGUAGCGAAAUUCCUUGUCGGGUAAGUUCCGACCCGCACGAAAGGCGUAACGAUUUGGGCACUGUCUCAACAAUAGACUCGGUGAAAUUGUAAUCCCGGUGAAGAUGCCGGGUACCUGCGACAGGACGGAAAGACCCCAUGGAGCUUUACUGUAGCUUGACGUUGGGUCUUGGUACUACAUGUACAGGAUAGGUGGGAGACUAUGAAGCAUGGACGCCAGUCUGUGUGGAGUCAUCCUUGGGAUACCACCCUUGUAGUACUGGGAUCCUAACCAUAGGCCUUGAAUCAGGUCUUGGAACACCGUCAGGUGGGCAGUUUGACUGGGGCGGUCGCCUCCUAAAAAGUAACGGAGGCGCUCAAAGGUUUCCUCAGCACGGUCGGAAAUCGUGCGAAGAGUGUAAAGGCAAAAGGAAGCUUGAUUGCAAGACAUACAGGUCGAGCAAGGACGAAAGUCGGACUUAGUGAUCCGGUGGUACCGCAUGGAAGGGCCAUCGCUCA
rnacentral:rRNA from 1 species